UACAGAGGUCUCAAGCGUUGUUCGGAUUUACUGGGCGUAAAGGGCGCGUAGGCGGUCAGCACAAGUCAGUUGUGAAAUCUCCGGGCUUAACUCGGAAAGGUCAACUGAUACUGUGCGACUAGAGUGCAGAAGGGGCAACUGGAAUUCUCGGUGUAGCGGUGAAAUGCGUAGAUAUCGAGAGGAACACCUGCGGCGAAGGCGGGUUGCUGGGCUGACACUGACGCUGAUGCGCGAAAGCGUGGGGAGCGAUCCGG
rnacentral:rRNA from 1 species